rnacentral:snoRNA from 1 species
GUCGUACCGAAACCCAAGAACCGCCGUCUCCUGUAGCAGUGUUACACAGAAGCGCAAGCAGCAGGAGGAUCUCCUUGCCUUUGGGGGCUGUGGUCGUACCCCUCAAAAGUGAAUCUGGAAGUUCUGCACCC